rnacentral:rRNA from 1 species
UACGGGGGAGCAAGCGUUGUUCGGAUUUACUGGGCGUAAAGGGCGCGUAGGCGGCCACCGCAAGUCGGUUGUGAAAUCUCCGGGCUUAACCCGGAAAGGUCAAUCGAUACUGCGGGCUAGAGUGCAGAAGGGGCAACUGGAAUUCUCGGUGUAGCGGUGAAAUGCGUAGAUAUCGAGAGGAACACCUGCGGCGAAGGCGGGUUGCUGGGCUGACACUGACGCUGAAGCGCGAAAGCUAGGGGAGCGAACGGG